CGGCGAGUUGGGGACGAGGACAACGAGACUUCCCAGAAAGCAGGUGCCGGAUCUGGGGAGAUGAGAAUUGGUUUUUGGUUUUCUUUUGUUCUAUCAUCAUUUAUCAGAAUUUAAAGGAAAAGAGGGGAAACCUGUGCUCGGGCAUGAGAGAGAAUACGAAUACCUGCAAUUUCCAAGAAUAAAGCGGCGCAGUGACUGGAAUCCUUUUAUGUCACAUGACAUACAUCAAGGGUAGUUGUUGUCACUUGGAAUAUGGAGCGCCGUGAUCGUAUAGUGGUUAGUACUCUGCGUUGUGGCCGCAGAAACCUCGGUUCAAAUCCGAGUCACGGCAUUACCCUUACACCUGGUGUCUGCUUUCCGUUUUCUUACACCCAGUAGUGGUCUACACUGGGUUCUCAGACAUGUGACCGCCAAUUUUUAUCCAAAAAGGAAAUUAUUUAGGUGUAUUAACAGAACGAAACGCACACAUCAUUAACGGACAGCUAUUUGAUGUGAAAUCAUCACGAGGAUUACGACAGAAAAUUUUUACAAACCAAGUAUGGAUGAAACACUUUGAUACGUGGAUGAAGCCCUUUGACACACUUUCCAGGUAUUAUCAAGCAGAGAUUCUGAAGUCGAGUUUCCCACUAGUAGGGGAAUCACAGAGGUCAGCACGUCAUGAAGGCAAUGGAGAAGACUUUGCCCUGGAGAAAGCACCUUCAAGAUCAUGGUACUUCUCCUGCCAGGUCUUCUGAGCGAGUGUCCAAGGGAGAAGGGAAAACGUGCCCAUUGCCUGGUAGAGACCACGGGGAUUCAAAACAACAGCAGCUGGAGAAGUUGGGGCAUUUACCUAGAUCACCAUCCUAUUGAUAUUCUGGGUUGAUUUUUACACCUCUCUUCUGCUUAUGUCCGAUAACAGCUUUCCCUUGUGGUAGUGAGAUGAACUGGAAACUCAAAUUACUCAGGGAAAUGAAUGUGAAUGAGUGGAUUGAAAGAGACUAUUUAAAAAAUAUAUUCCACCCUCGCUCAACUGACGAGUGCAUGGAGAUGGCAAAGGCCUGGGAGGCCCAGCACGUCCGCUGAUGCUGGGCCAGUCAUUGGAUCUGAACCUGUUGCUACUCGGAACACCUCGAGCCUGGGUCUCUGUCUCUGAGAGAUGCUUUGGAGGAUCCAUCUGCAUGGCAGCGACCAACCACACCACCCCGUUUCCUUUUCCUGGGGAGGCUAAGCCGGGUCUUCCAGGAUCACAAAGGUAGAUAUUUUAAUGACCAAAAGUUAUAAGAAAAUAUUCUUGACAUUUUUACUCAUCAGGGAAAUAAGCAUUAACACUAUAAGGAGUUAUCAUUACACACCCUCCAGCAUGGCUGUAACUUAAAAGAAUUCGUGCUUCAAAUGCUGACACA